rnacentral:rRNA from 1 species
UACGGAGGAUCCAAGCGUUAUCCGGAUUAUUGGGUUUAAGGGGUGCGUAGGCGGCCUGUUAAGUCAGGGGUGAAAGACGGUAGCUCAACUAUGCAGUGCCCUUGAUACUGAUGGGCUUGAAUUGACUAGAGGUAGGCGGAAUGUGACAAGUAGCGGUGAAAUGCAUAGAUAUGUCACAGAACACCGAUUGCGAAGGCAGCUUACUAUGGUCAUUAUCGCUGAGGCACGAAAGCGUGGGGAUCAAACAGG